rnacentral:lncRNA from 1 species
ACAUCAACAUAAGAGCACAUAAAUCAUAAGAGCUUGAUCCUUAAGUAACAAUAAAAUCAACUUCAGUUUGAAGCAUAAAGAUGCACAAUAACUCUCAAUACAUCAACAUAAGAGCAUAUAAAUCAUAAGAGUUUAAUCCUUAAGUAACAAUAAAAUCAACUUCAGUUUGAAGCAUAAAGAUGCACAAUAAUUCCUUAGUUACUCUCAAUACAUCAUACUUGCAUAAGUUAAUAGAGUCAACAUCCUUCCAAAGAAAACUAUUACAAUGACAAAACAAAAUAAAGCUAAAUGUUUAUAAUAGCAGACAUCUUCUCUCAACAAGUAGUUAAUAACUUCAACUUUGAAGUUCAAAUUGAUCUCUGACUUUAUGAAUUAUGUUUGAUCAUUCAUAUGGUAUGGGCCCUGCAAAACAAAAAGACAUGAAUUGAAGUGAAUUGGCUUAGAAAGGGAUUCAAGAUAUUUGACAGUAACUAAUACUAUAUAUUAACCAAACAUAUUUAUCUCAAGUGUUACCUUUAUGAUUCAAGUGGAUGGUUUUCAAUUUAUAUCAUCUAAGUGGACUGAUUCUUGAGAUGUUAUCUCUACAAAAAAAAAAAAAAAAUAUAUAAAUUAACCAAUGUUGAAAAUAAGAAUCAAAAUGCACAAGUUUCAGAUUGUUAUACAUAAUACAUACAAGUUAUACAAUCAGCUCAGAGUUAAUUUUGCAGGAAUUAUAAAUCAUCUAAGGUUGAACAAAUAAAGCUAGAAACUCAAAAAGUUGUUGUCACAUAAAGCCAGCUACUAUGUAAUUCUAUAUGAUACUCAGAAAAUUCAUAUCUACGGAUUAUCCCCUGAGAUCAACUACCUUCUGCAGAAAAGCAUGAAGCUACAAAAUUCACUUACCUUACAACCAGAUCACAUAUCAGUAACUAGGUAUCAAUUUACUACCAAGAGGAAAGUAUGGCUUAUCACAUGAAAUCAUAUCAAAACCAAACUACUGCAUAAUAAUUCUCUGCACUCCACACACAACACAUCAUAGAGGCUAUACUAAUUGAGACACAAAAUAGACUAGACCUAGACCAAGCUAGAAUUGUUAUACAUAUUAUGAACCAUCUAAGUUUCAAGUUGUGUAUCAUUAAUCAAUGAAGAAGCCAACAUGUAAUUAAAUCGUUUAAUGAAACCAAAACAAAAGCAUCUUAGUUUAAAUAACAAUUUAAAAAACAUUCAUUAUUCAUCGAAACCUAUAAACUCGAUUAUUCAAGAUGACAAGUAGCAGCUCAAACUCACUAAGGGCCAAGUUUCAAGUUAACCUCCUCCAAACUUUACCAUUCAAUCAAGAUGUUACUCUACUAACAGUCAAUUACAUCACAAGAUGUUACCAUUCUUCUUGGACAAGUUCAUUUUAAAAUUUCAGAAACUACAAAGUGCAUGACUAUAAUUAACUUCACAAGACAACAAUAAUAACAAAGUUACAAAAGAUUCACCAUCCUACCAAAAAACUCCACAGUAGAGAACACAAAUGAAUAGAAGUUAUAGAAAUGAGCUAAAAAAAGCUUCUAAGAGUCCAAAUAUUUCACACGUCACUUUGCAACAAUCACUAACAAAUUAACACUCAUCAUAUAAUCACACAAACAUGCCAGAAACAAAAACAUGCCCACAAACCAAAAUCAAUCAUACCCAGAAACAAAAAUCAAACAAAAUCAUACCCAAAAACCAAAAUCAAUCAUACCCAAAAACAAAACUAAAAACAAAUCAUACCCAUAAACUAAUUUGUACCUUACGUGAAGAGUUCGCAUAAGAGUUCGAAGAAGAGGUGAAGAUCGCAAACAAAAAUGAAUUGGCUAAAAAAUGGUCCCUGAAGAGGUGAAGACCGGCCAUUUCAUGGAUUAAUCAUGGCAUUUCACCAUCACUGGUCCCUGAAGAGGAGAAAUUAGGGUUUAGAAAUUGAAAUUGAAAUUACUCAAAUUAGGGUUUUGAAAAGGGUUCAGUUCACCUUUUGUGUCAUUGUGUGAAAAGAAGAUUUCUGUGAUAACUGAUUAAUUGAGUUGUAAAUUGUAAUGGUUCGGUUCGGUUAAUACCAGUUAAUUGAAUCUAAUAAAAAUUCGGUUCGGUUAGUAAAUCAUCUUCAAAUAACGGUUCAAUUCGGUUAACCAAUGCA